CCUGACGACAAUAGCGAGUUGGCCCCACCCCUUCCCAUUCCGAACAGGGCCGUGAAACGACUCAGCGCCGAUGAUAGUACGGAUUGCCCGUGUGAAAGUAGGACAUUGUCAGGC
rnacentral:rRNA from 1 species